CACCCUUGAUAACCCACUUUCUUUUCUCCCACCCAAAUUCUUGAUCAAGAGUUUUUCAAGUAAAGACAUGCUCUUCUCUCUUCUGUAUAAAACUUUACGAAAUAAAGGCAAAAGAUUGUGUACAUCUUGCUGGAAAAUGCUGCCCAGGGCUCUGGAGACGGUGGCUGCCCGGGCUCCCUUCACUGUCCAGGUCCUGAAAGACUCUUGUUCAUGAACUGUCUCUUCACAAAGCAAGUCCACCACUUGCUGGGUUUAUCAUUCUGAGGGUCGAAAACUUUCUCACAAAGUCUCAGUCCAGUCUCUUGCCUUAGCUGUUGUAAAUAGGCUCUCAUCACUUCAUCUUCCUGUUUGUUUGCAGGUUUGGCAUAAAUUGCGUUAAGUGGAAAACCAGGCUCUCCAGGAAUGGGAAAAUUAGUGAUUCCCAGCGUAUACAUUUCUUUCUCACCUUGGCUUUUGGAAUUGCACUUUUGCAGUUUCUUCAGACAUUCAGAAAUGUAGAGAGUUAUAUAUAUCAAGGUCCUAUCAGCUUCAUUCUUAAUUUCAUAGUUUUUGAAGAAGACAUUGGCCUUGAAGUAAUAGAUGGCUUCAUCCACAAUAUCUGUAUCUUUUGUCUCUCUGGGGGCAGGUCCUUUGAAUUGACUUCUGAUAGGCAACAGUGCCAUGUUUCCGAUGAGUUUGGUAUCAGGAUCCAUGAGAGAAGAGUGGUAAGCCGGCAUCUUGGCGGCGCCCGGGUUUCAACCCAGAGGAGCAGGAUCCAGGUACAGCGGAGCGCUUCCGGUCUGGCAGCCUGGGCGAGGUCUUCUCCAUAUUGAAUGGCAAAAUCAAUAUGCUGCAAUACAAUGUUCAUGCUUUCUUCAUCUG
rnacentral:lncRNA from 1 species